rnacentral:lncRNA from 1 species
UAAAAAGAAAUAGAGAUAUAGUAAAAUAAAAUUUCUCUCUUUAUCUCUCACGUUUAUGUAUUUACAAUUGGAUUCUUUAAGACUAUCUAUGUUUCAUAAUAAUUAGAUGAAAGAGAUUUGAUAAGUUGUUCUUAACAAAUAUUGCGAUAAGUUGUUCUUGAAUUGAUUUUAUCGUUUUGGUCGUAUUUUCAAACUAGUUUUUUUUUUAAUAAUGUAAUAGUUGUAUUUUGAUUGUAUUGUCAGUUUAUUGCCUUGAGUAUUUGCAGUCAUGGUCUAAAGUUUGUCCUACGCUGCCUAAAAUCAUUCUUUAAUGUGCCUAAAGGCACUAGGCGGCUUAAAGGCUCAUGUGGUUCACAGAGAUUGUUGGCCAUGCAGAAGAAAGUCAAAGGGGAGAGCAACCAUGAGGGGAGGUGCACUUAAGGUAAGGUACCGAAUCUUACUGAGGUGUGAGGUUUUGCAAACUCUUCCAUGAUGUUAAUAUAACUUAAUAUUAACAAAAAUUUAUUGUACACGUUAUUUUAUCAAUUAUACUUAUUGUAACAUUAUUUUUGUAUCAUAUGAUAUUUAUUUAUUCUUUUUAUCCUAUUACUAUAUUUAUAUUUAUUUAGAUUGUUUUAGUCAAAAGGUAUAAUAGUCAUUUAUGAAAUUAAGAGGGUCUAUGUGAUCAUUUAUGAAACUAAAGGGAUAUGUAUGAUUAUUUAAGCAAACCUUAGAGGUGUGGGAUGUUUUUUCCUAAAUUUAAUAUUAA